rnacentral:rRNA from 1 species
UACGUAGGGGGCAAGCGUUGUCCGGAUUUAUUGGGCGUAAAGAGCGUGUAGGCGGCCAAACAGGUCAGCUGUGAAAACUCGAGGCUCAACCUCGAGACGUCGGUUGAAACCGUUUUGGCUAGAGUCCGGAAGAGGAGAGUGGAAUUCCCGGUGUAGCGGUGAAAUGCGCAGAUAUCGGGAAGAACACCCGUGGCGAAGGCGGCUCUCUGGGACGGUACUGACGCUGAGACGCGAAAGCGUGGG